CAGUAGCCACGGUAAUACGAAGGGGGCUAGCGUUGCUCGGAAUCACUGGGCGUAAAGGGUGCGUAGGCGGGUCUUUAAGUCAGGGGUGAAAUCCUGGAGCUCAACUCCAGAACUGCCUUUGAUACUGAAGAUCUUGAGUUCGGGAGAGGUGAGUGGAACUGCGAGUGUAGAGGUGAAAUUCGUAGAUAUUCGCAAGAACACCAGUGGCGAAGGCGGCUCACUGGCCCGAUACUGACGCUGAGGAGCGAAAGCGUGGGGAGCGAACAGGAUUAGAUACCCCCGUAGUCCCUGUCUCUUAUAC
rnacentral:rRNA from 1 species